rnacentral:rRNA from 1 species
GCAGUCUGCAACUCGACUGCAUGAAGCUGGAAUCGCUAGUAAUCGCGGAUCAGCAUGCCGCGGUGAAUACGUUCCCGGGCCUUGUACACACCGCCCGCCACACCAUGGGAGCCGGUAAUACCCGAAGUCAGUAGUCCAACCUCGUGAGGACGCUGCCGAAGGUAGGAUUGGCGACUGGGGUGAAGUCGUAACAAGGUAGC